rnacentral:rRNA from 1 species
CCAAUAGCGUAUAUUAAAGUUGUUGCAGUUAAAAAGCUCGUAGUUGAAUUUCGGGAUCGGUAUGCCGGUCGUGCCUUCGGUACGUACUGGUAUCAUCGAUUUCUCCCUUCUGACGAGCCAUGAUGUCAUUAAUUUGGUGUCGUGGGGAGUUAGGACUGUUACUUUGAAAAAAUUAGAGUGUUUAAAGCAGGCUUUCGCUUGAAUACAUUAGCAUGGAAUAAUGAAAUAGGACGUUCGAACCUAUUUUGUUGGUUUCUAGGAUCAACGUAAUGAUUAAUAGGGACAGUUGGGGGCAUUAGUAUUCAACUGUCAGAGGUGAAAUUCUUGGAUUUAUUGAAGACUAACUACUGCGAAAGCAUUUGCCAAGGAUGUUUUCAUUAAUCAAGAACGAAAGUUAGGGGAUCGAAGACGAUCAGAUACCGUCGUAGUCUUAACCAUAAACUAUGCCGACUAGGGAUCGGAUGAUGUUAAUUUUUUAAUGACUCAUUCGGCGCCUUACG